CGUGGCUUUGUGGUUAAGACGUUGGGCUACUAGCCCAAUGGUGGCAGGUUCGAGCCC
rnacentral:tRNA from 1 species